UUUGUUUUAAUUGGCGAACAAUUAAAAAUGGCGUCUGCCAUGAAAAGGUAGGCUACGUGUUUUUGACGAACGGGAGAUGUGAUGGGAAAAUGAGGAGUUUUCUCUGUGAUCAGUCGGAUACAGUGAAUAUUUAAUGGAUUCUUUAAGAAGGUUGCAGCAAAUGAACACCUCAGACGGCUGUGGCUCAUGCGGGCCGUAGCGAGUGCCAGGUUGAGAGAUUGAGGCCGAAGUUGACGGUGCAUGUGCUCUUGGUACAAUGUGGAACUGAAGCAAAGAGGAGGCAUGUGACACAACCUAAACCCGGAGAACUCCUGAGUUUAAUCGCUCCACGUGGCUUAAACAAGCAACUCGAGGCGUGCAGCUAAUUUCAUGAUGACCCUACAGCUGAAAGCAGGAGGGAAGUCUUGCUGUUCUUCUCAAUUAUGGCAGCACGCCAUCUCCAUGGCUGGCAUGGAACAACGACGGGGCAGCAGAAUCCCUGAUGGCGAUCUAUUCACCGUUGAUGCCCGCAGAUGCAGCUCUGCCUCAGCCAUUGUACAGAGGAAUGAUUUAAUGCAAACGACUACAAAACAUCUCCCCGCCCCCUUCAGCGCCUAUCACAACCAGGACGUGUGAUAUUCACAAUUAACAAACACAUCUGCUGUAAUGAACAGUGCCUUCGAGCAGGAGGAGCGAGAGGGGACCGUAUGUGGAAUAGAAGAGAGGAGGGUGUGAGAUGUGAGGAGAGUGAUGGUGGGUCAUACCUGCUUAUUUUCCACUUCCAUUUAAUGCCCGCAUGCUCUAAGAUGGUGGCUUUGUGCAAACUGCAUCUCGUGAUGGGAGGAAGGGGGCAGGCGAGCAGCGAAGGGGAGGGGAGCAGCAACGCCAGCAGGACAGCAGCCACACAACCGACCUGCCCUACUUCUUCACUCUUUCCUUUCCCUGGCAUCAAGGAUAUGCUGCAUACCUUCUCUGUCAGUAGUGAUGGAGGCCAUUUUGUAGCUUGAUCUUGCAAUAAGAUGCAGAGAUUGAGGAGGAGAGAGAAGGAGACUUAGGAAGGGAAAGAGAAGAGGAGAGGGGAGGAGUACAGAUCUCAAGGUAGGGCGAUGCCUUUCAGGUG